AAGUGCCAUCAAAAUUAAAAAACUGAAAAUUUAAAUAAAGAACCAAUGUUUUGUUUUUAAUUCUUUUUCAGGGGGAGAUGUUUGUUUAUCAAAAUCACGUCUGCUUUUAUGAGCUUGCUGGUUUUUCAGCUUCAUAUAGAUAAAAUAAAGAUUCAUGUCUGCUGUAAUCGUCAAUUAUUUACCUGUGUGUGAUGUCAUGAGACAACUGUGCUUUCCCUGCAUAUGAGGAAACAACUGUAUAUAACAAAAAAUGAGCCUGGAAGUAACCAUUAUAGACACAACUAAAAAGGUGUGUGUCAUCUGUGGAGAGCAUGAUGACCGUCAAGUUUCAAAACUUGGAGAAAAGGGAUGUCAAGGACUUUCAUUAGCUGCAAAAAACUAUAAAGGUUGUGACACCACAUCGAGGAUAUAUGGUAUUGGAAAGGGUGUUGUUCUGAAAAAAGCUUUGAAUGAGUCGAACUUCAAAAACCAAGCAAAAGUUUUUAUGAACACUUCUUCACAUUCUACAAUUGAGGAAGCAGGAGAAAACGCAUUCAAAUGUGUUUACAACGGAAAUCAGAUUGAGGAUUUGGACGCUCUUCGAUUUAGAAAAUUUGUGCAAAAGGUUAACACAAGUAACAAUGUGGUACAAGUUGAAACUCUUCCUCCAACUAAGGCGGCAGCAAGGUUUCAUAGCUUUAGAACAUAUUUACAAGUCCAAACCUGGGUCGGUAGUGAACUAAAUCCAUUAGAGUGGGGCUGGAGAAAAGAGAAUGACGUGUUGACACCUGUAAAGUGUAAUAUGAUAGCAGCGCCUGAGCGGUUAUUAAAUGUCUUACAAUGUAACUGUAAAACCGGUUGUGAUACCAAACGAUGUAGCUGUCGGAAACAUGGUUUAAAAUGCACGGAUUGUUGUGGUGAAUGCAAAGGAACAAGUUGUAGUAACGUACAGUCAAUUAUUGAAGAGCUGGAUAUCUAGAAUUAAGAAAAAAAUCAGAUAUCUUUCAAUGUAAAUGCAAUUGGUAAAGUGUUUAACAUAAACCAUCAAAUGUUUUGUAACUUGACAUAAGCAAAGCAUAGUUGCUCAGCUAGUAGUGUUAAUUGUUACGUAACAUCCUUUUUUUAAAUUCAAAUCAAUAAUGAGAUGAGAUUGUAUAUUUCUAACACACUUUCGGUGUUAAAUGUUUUAAUAUAUAUCAUAUUAUAUUAUAUAUAAUAUUAUAUUAUACCAAAACUGUAAUGUAGCUUGAAUAUUGCAAUUAACAAAGAAUUAUUGUUAAGUUGUUAAUGCUAGUUGUUAUGUUUUAAUUAUUCAAUAAGCAUAUUGAAAAUGCAGAAAUAUCUUGAUUAUAAAAAAACUUCAUCGAAUUAACGCAAAGUUCGAUUUUUUAGUCAAUUUGUCAUAAUAUGUUGAAUGAAAUAUUUUCAUGUUAACAUUGAGCUAAAUCAACUGUCAUACAUUUAGAGUUCUCUUUCAUGCAAAGUCUAAGAAUGAACUAUGAUUGAUUAGUAUAAUUGCUAGCCUUUAAA